rnacentral:lncRNA from 1 species
GCACACACAGGAUUACACCAAAUUCAGAUUGGGUUUUUUCAUUCUUCGUUCUUUCCUCUCCUCCCUCCCAUUUCGUUUCAUACUCAGCCAGCCGCCAGCCACCAGCCACCGAUUCCAAACCUCUCUCUCAACCAGCACGUCACAGUCACACCCCUCUCUGCCGCCGCUCUUCUCUUAGCCUCUCUCAGUCGUUGCAGGUCAGAUUCUCUCUCUAUCUCUCUCCUUUUUUUUUUCUUUCCCCAAUUCAAUUUUCUGACUCUCUCUGUCUUCCAGCAAAUCGGAGAUCCCAUUCGCUCGCAGCGUCCACCUCUUCAUCUCGUAUAGCUCUCUGUCUCUGUCUCUCUCUCUCAGGUAUUGUUCAUCUCUCUCUCACAGCUCAUCUUCGAUUCUGCGAAAAUUGGAUAGGUCUUAUAUUUUCUAGGGUGCAAUAAUCUAAUGUGAUGUGGGUUUUGGAAUGACAGACAGACAAAGCUUCAAUGCUGGAUGAGAUCAUCGAUUAUGUCAAAUUCCUACAGCUCCAAGUCAAGGUGCUCUUCUUCUUUAUGUUUUUUAUUUUUUAUUUUUUCCCUUUCUGGAGCUGAGUUCAUUAUUUCUUAAUUAAAGAAAAAGAAAGAUUCCCUAGUUGACAUUGUUUGCUGGAUUAAAUAAUGAUAAUCAAAUAAUGGAUUUCUGAGUAAUUUUUUUUAAUUCAUUUUGGGGAAUGGAUGUGAAUUUGUUAUGUUUACACAACAUGUAGGUUCUGAGCAUGAGCAGGUUGGGCAGUGCAGCUGCUGUUGCUCCUCUUGUUGCUGAUGUGUCCUCUGAGGUAAAUUAA